GGGCGGGGCGGGGUGUGAGCCGACCGCGGGCGCUGGGCGGGUCCGCGGCGCGGUCGGUCGGCGCCUAUUCUCGGGCUGUUUGGCGGGUGAAUCAGGUCUAGGAAAAUCGACUCUCAUAAACAGCCUAUUCCUAACUGAUCUGUACCCAGAAAGAGUCAUACCUGGAGCAGCAGAAAAAAUUGAAAGAACCGUCCAGAUUGAGGCUUCAACUGUUGAAAUUGAAGAGCGAGGGGUCAAGCUACGCCUGACAGUGGUAGAUACCCCUGGCUAUGGUGACGCUAUCAACUGCAGAGAUUGUUUUAAGACAAUUAUCUCCUAUAUUGAUGAGCAAUUUGAGAGGUACCUGCAUGACGAGAGCGGCUUGAACAGGCGGCACAUCAUUGAUAAUAGGGUGCAUUGUUGCUUUUACUUUAUUUCACCUUUUGGACAUGGACUUAAGCCCUUAGAUGUGGCGUUUAUGAAGGCAAUACA
rnacentral:sRNA from 1 species